CAAGUCGAACGGCAGCGGGGAGGAGCUUGCUUCUCUGCCGGCGAGUGGCGAACGGGUGAGUAAUACAUCGGAACGUGUCGAGAAGAGGGGGAUAACCACCCGAAAGGGUGGCUAAUACCGCAUAAAUUCUGAGGAAGAAAGCUGGGGACCUAGGAAUAGGCCUAGCGCUUUUUGAGCGGCCGAUGUCGGAUUAGCUAGUUGGUGAGGUAAAGGCUCACCAAGGCGAAGAUCUGUAGCGGGUCUGAGAGGAUGAUCCGCCACACUGGGACUGAGACACGGCCCAGACUCCUACGGGAGGCAGCAGUGGGGAAUUUUGGACAAUGGGGGCAACCCUGAUCCAGCCAUGCCGCGUGUAUGAAGAAGGCCUUAGGGUUGUAAAGUACUUUUGUUAGGGAAGAAAAGUCAGCUGUGAAUAAUGGCUGAUACUGACGGUACCUAAAGAAUAAGCACCGGCUAACUACGUGCCAGCAGCCGCGGUAAUACGUAGGGUGCGAGCGUUAAUCGGAAUUAUUGGGCGUAAAGCGAGUGUAGACGGUUAUUUAAGCCAGAUGUGAAAUACCCGAGCCUAACUUGGGAGGUGCAUAUGGGACUGGGUAGCUAGAGUGUGUCAGAGGGAGGUAGAACUCCACGUGUAGCAGUGAAAUGCGUAGAGAUGUGGAAGAAUACCGAUGGCGAAGGCAGCCUCCUGGGAUAACACUGACGUUGAGGCUCGA
rnacentral:rRNA from 1 species